UACAGAGGGUGCAAGCGUUGUUCGGAAUUAUUGGGCGUAAAGCGCGUGUAGGCGGCUUUGCAAGUCGGGUGUGAAAGCCCUCAGCUUAACUGAGGAAGUGCGCCCGAAACUGCAGAGCUUGAAUACCGGAGAGGAUGGCGGAAUUCCCCAAGUAGAGGUGAAAUUCGUAGAUAUGGGGAGGAACACCAGUGGCGAAGGCGACUACCUGGCCUGUUCUUGACGCUGAGGCGCGAAAGCUAGGGGAGCAAACGGG
rnacentral:rRNA from 1 species